CUUAUUUCUAGAGAUAGAAGUUACUUCGGUACAUCGGUGACAGGUGGUGCAUGGUUGUCGUCAGCUCGUGUCGUGAGAUGUUGGGUUAAGUCCCGCAACGAGCGCAACCCCUAUUGUUAGUUGCCAUCAUUCAGUUGGGCACUCUAGCGAGACUGCCGGUAAUAAACCGGAGGAAGUGGGGAUGACGUCAAAUCAUCAUGCCCCUUAUGACCUGGGCUACACACGUGCUACAAUGGUUGGUACAACGAGUUGCGAGCCGGUGACGGCGAGCUAAUCUCUUAAAGCCAAUCUCAGUUCGGAUUGUAGGCUGCAACUCGCCUACAUGAAGUCGGAAUCGCUAGUAAUCGCGGAUCAGCACGCCGCGGUGAAUACGUUCCCGGGCCUU
rnacentral:rRNA from 1 species